ensembl:lncRNA
ACGGACCGGAAGUUUUACAGUCCCACUGGAGCUCAACCUUUUCUCCCCCAAACGAUUAAUAGCAAAGACUUUUCAACAUUAAAUUUGGUGGCGGUAAUGCAACAUUAGACUGGAUGCCACCCGCCGUUAAACCAAAGAAGGAGUUGCGCGAGCUAGAACAACAACAGCUGCCAGUUCAAUGUCAAGCGUCAAGCCUUCCAUGUCUGAACCCAAGUCCCCGGGUUCUUACUGUGGUGUUCCAGCACAGAGAAGCUCACAGUGGGGUCCAGAGAUGGUCUUAGUGAAGCUGGAGGACUGUAGUCAACCACUGGAACUCAAUGUGAUAGUCAAAGAGGAAGAGGAGGAGAGAGGGAUUAAAGAGGAGGAGGAGGAGAGAGGGAUUAAAGAGGAGGAG